rnacentral:rRNA from 1 species
GAUGAACGCUAGCUACAGGCUUAACACAUGCAAGUCGCGGGGCAGCAUUCACUUAGCUUGCUAAGUGAGAUGGCGACCGGCGCACGGGUGAGUAACGCGUAUCCAACCUGCCCUUGUCCACGGGAUAACCCGGUGAAAACCGGCCUAAUACCGUAUGAGGUCACAAGCGGGCAUCCAACUGUGACGAAAGGUUUAGCGGACAAGGAUGGGGAUGCGUCCGAUUAGCUUGUUGGCGGGGUAACGGCCCACCAAGGCGACGAUCAGUAGGGGUUCUGAGAGGAAGGUCCCCCACAUUGGAACUGAGACACGGUCCAAAACUCCUACGGGAGGCAGCAGUGAGGAAUAUUGGUCAAAUGGGCGCAAGCCUGAACCAGCCAAGUAGCGUGAGGGAAGACUGCCCUA